rnacentral:tRNA from 1 species
GCCUGGGUGGCUCAGUUGGUUGAGCAUAUGACUUCAGCUCAGGUUAUAAUCUCACUGUUUGUGAGUUUGAGCCCCACAUCAGGCU